UAUUUUUGCAUUUGACUACACUUCGGAAGAGUAAAUGAUAAAGAAGUCCUUCCAGAUAUCUGUUCAACUAAAACUCAGCACCAAGUUUACUUUAUGAAGAGGGCAGGAGUCUGGCCUAGCCCCUGUGUGUCAAGAUCUCAGCUGCAGUGGAGGCUGAGAAGUUGCUUUUCUUUUAAAGAAUAUCAGAAAUACUGACCAGACCUUUUGACUUCCAGUUAUCUGUCCUAUCUCAAGAUGCCAACUGACGUUCCUUUCUUUUUCAUUAAUCCAUGAUAGAUACAUGUUUAUGUGGAACAGUAUGCUUGAAUGUAAUGUGUACAGAUGAAAAGGGGUAAUUUAAGCAUUUCUUUUUUUUAAGAAUUUACUUAUGUUUAUGAGUACACUGUAGCUGUCUUCAGACACACUAGAAGAGGGCAUUGGAGUCAUUACAGAUGGUUGUGAGCCACCAUGUGGUUGCUGGGAAUUGAGCUCAAGACCUCUGGAAAAGCAGUCAGUGCUCUUAACCUCUGAGACAUCUCUCCAGCCCCCUGAAGUUUUUUUUUUUCUCUCUCUCUCUCUCUCUCUUUCUUUCUUUCUUUCUUUCUCUCUUUCUCUCUUUCUCUCUUUCUCUCUUUCUCUCUUUCUCUCUUUCUCUCUUUCUCUCUUUCUCUCUUUCUCUCUUUCUCUCUCUCUUUCUCUUUCUCUCUCUUUCUUUUUUUUCUUUCUCCCACAAAGAUUGCCCUAGAUUGUGGAGUCUGGCUGUGUAAGGCACUUGAUCAAGAUACAUGAGGCUCUGAAAUCUAUCUGUAGUACCCAAAGAAAUGGAGCUAGGCAUGGUAGCACAUACCUGUAAUCCCAGCACUUGGGAGGCAGAGGCAGGAAGAGCCUGGAGUUCAAGGUGACCCUGGGCCAUAUAAUGAGACUCUAUCUCAAAGAAACAAUGAGACAGCCCUCCCUCCCCCCCAAAAAAAAAAAA